rnacentral:rRNA from 1 species
CCGCCUGAGAGGGCGACCGGCCACACUGGGACUGAGACACGGCCCAGGACUCCUACGGGAGGCAGCAGUGGGGAAUAUUGCACAAUGGGCGGAAGCCUGAUGCAGCGACGCCGCGUGAGGGAUGACGGCCUUCGGGUUGUAAACCUCUUUCAGCAGGGACGAAGCGUAAGUGACGGUACCUGCAGAAGAAGCACCGGCCAACUACGUGCCAGCAGCCGCGGUAAGACGUAGGGUGCGAGCGUUGUCCGGAUUUAUUGGGCGUAAAGAGCUCGUAGGCGGCUUGUCGCGUCGACCGUGAAAACUUGGGGCUCAACCCCAAGCCUGCGGUCGAUACGGGCAGGCUAGAGUUCGGUAGGGGAGACUGGAAUUCCUGGUGUAGCGGUGAAAUGCGCAGAUAUCAGGAGGAACACCGGUGGCGAAGGCGGGUCUCUGGGCCGAUACUGACGCUGAGGAGCGAAAGCGUGGGGAGCGAACAGGAUUAGAUACCCUGGUAGUCCACGCUGUAAACGUUGGGCGCUAGGUGUGGGGGGCCUCUCCGGUUUCCUGUGCCGAAGCUAACGCAUUAAGCGCCCCCGCCUGGGGAGUACGG